GACGAACGCUGGCGGCGUGCUUAACACAUGCAAGUCGAACGGAAAGGCCCUGCUUUUGUGGGGUGCUCGAGUGGCGAACGGGUGAGUAACACGUGAGUAACCUGCCCUUGACUUUGGGAUAACUUCAGGAAACUGGGGCUAAUACCGGAUAGGAGCUCCUGCUGCAUGGUGGGGGUUGGAAAGUUUCGGCGGUUGGGGAUGGACUCGCGGCUUAUCAGCUUGUUGGUGGGGUAGUGUCUUACCAAGGCUUUGACGGGUAGCCGGGCUGAGAGGGCGACCGGCUAAAUUGGGACUGAGAUACGGCCCAGCCUCCUACGGGAGGCAGCAGUGGGGAAUAUUGUACAAUGGGCGGAAGCCUGAUGCAGCAACGCCGCGUGCGGGAUGACGGCCUUCGGGUUGUAAACCGCUUUCGCCUGUGACGAAGCGUGAGUGACGGUAAUGGGUAAAGAAGCACCGGCUAACUACGUG
rnacentral:rRNA from 1 species